UACGGGGGGAGCAAGCGUUGUUCGGAUUUACUGGGCGUAAAGGGCGCGUAGGCGGCCAGCACAAGUCAGUUGUGAAAUCUCCGGGCUUAACUCGGAAAGGUCAACUGAUACUGUGCGGCUAGAGUGCAGAAGGGGCAACUGGAAUUCUCGGUGUAGCGGUGAAAUGCGCAGAUAUCAGGAAGAACACCAAUGGCGAAAGCAGCUCUCUGGGACGGUACUGACGCUGAGACGCGAAAGCGUGGGGAGCGAACAGG
rnacentral:rRNA from 1 species